GAUGGAAUUAAAUGGCCUCAAGGCUCUUUUUGGAAUGUAGUCACAAAGUUGUUAUGUUAGAAAAAAGCAAGGCUGUCAGCCUGGAUUCAAGCCACCACCUCUUGGCUGGAAGAUGUGCCCUUCGAAUGGUGUCUCCAGGAUCAGAGAUGGAUCUGUCUUCAUCUGUCCAUACCCCAACUCACCUUGUUGCUAUAAGAAACUGAGCCCUCCAGUUCAAGAAUACAAACCACAGAGAGGGGAAUACUGAAGGGAAAUCUAAAAGGUCAGUGAUGUUUCUAGGCAAGGCAUCUGUGGAAAGCUGACUUCUGCCUUCAAAUGCAUCUGGAAUCCAACCACCUCUCACCACCUCCUCUGUAACCCCCUGUCUAGACCACUCUCAUUGGUCACUAGAUUGCAGAGACCUUCAGACUGGUCCUCCUGUUUCCACCCAUGCCCUCUUAGAAUUUCUUCAUGCACAUUCCAGCUCCAAAUGUCUGUGUUCCUGCUUUGGGCACAUUGAGGUGAAGAAGACCAGUGAUUUGCCAAGGAAAGAAGGGCUUGUCUGAAAGAGUCAGGAAGGAAAUUUAUGCUCCCUUAGAAGAUGAGAAAACAGAGAUAGGGGCUGCUCACCUACCCCUCAGUGUCAACUUGUAGUAGGUAAAUAAAC
rnacentral:lncRNA from 1 species